rnacentral:rRNA from 1 species
AGAGUUUGAUCAUGGCUCAGAACGAACGCUGGCGGCGUGGAUAAGACAUGCAAGUCGAGCGCUGAUUACAGGGUAGCAAUAUUCUGUGGUCGGAGCGGCGCAAGGGUGCGUAACACGUGGGCAAUCUGCCGUGAAGUCGGGGACAACUUGCUGAAAGGCGAGCUAAUACCGGAUGUAAAAAUCGGAAGGCAUCUUCUGAUUUUCAAAGCUGGGGACCGUAAGGCCUGGCGCUUCAUGAUGAGCCCGCGGCCUAUCAGCUAGUUGGUGAGGUAACGGCUCACCAAGGCUAAGACGGGUAGCUGGUCUGAGAGGACGACCAGCCACACUGGAACUGAGACACGGUCCAGACACCUACGGGUGGCAGCAGUCGAGAAUUUUUCACAAUGGGCGAAAGCCUGAUGGAGCGACGCCGCGUGGGGGAUGAAUGGCUUCGGCCCGUAAACCCCUGUCAUUUGCGAUCAACCGUUAUUAUUUAAAAGAUGAUGACCUGAUAGUAGCGAAAGAGGAAGGGACGGCUAACUCUGUGCCAGCAGCCGCGGUAAUACAGAGGUCCUAAGCGUUGUUCGGAUUCACUGGGCGUAAAGGGUGCGUAGAUGGCGAGGUAAGUCGGAUGUGAAAGCUCGGAGCUCAACUCCGAAAUGGCAUUGGAAACUACCUUGCUCGAGGGUUGGAGGGGGGACUGGAAUUCUCGGUGUAGCAGUGAAAUGCGUAGAUAUCGAGAGGAACACCAGUGGCGAAGGCGAGUCCCUGGACAACUCCUGACACUGAGGCACGAAAGCUAGGGGAGCAAACAGGAUUAGAUACCCCAGUAGUCC